UACGAAGGGGGCUAGCGUUACUCGGAUUGACUGGGCGUAAAGGGCGCGUAGGCGGCUUGUACAGUCAGACGUGAAAUUCCUGGGCUCAACCUGGGGGCUGCGUUUGAUACGUAUGGGCUUGAGUUCGGAAGAGGGUCGUGGAAUUCCCAGUGUAGAGGUGAAAUUCGUAGAUAUUGGGAAGAACACCGGUGGCGAAGGCGGCGACCUGGUCCUUGACUGACGCUGAGGCGCGAAAGCGUGGGGAGCAAACAGG
rnacentral:rRNA from 1 species